AAAAAGGUUACCUUAAUAAAAAGAAACAAAUUGUCUGAUAAGAACCUCCUUUCAAAUAAAGUAGCCUAUCUUUCUUCCAUUACAAUAAACAGCCCACACAAACUCUUCCAGCACUUUCUUCUUAUGAGUCUUGGUCUCGCUCUCUAGCGCGAUUCUUACUAUAUCAGAUGCCAUUUCUUUGUGAAACGCACUCGUAUGGAUGGGUAGUUCUAUAACAAACAUAGGCACGCAAUGAGGAUCCUCUUGUAUGGCUAGACUUACUCUCCCUUUGCGAUAACCGAAAAUGGUACCUGUAGUAGCAUUAUCUUUAAGUAAGGGUUUUCGAGGCCUACCUAGAAGUGCAACCAUCUUGCAACCUGAGGUUAACAUGGGGAAGAGUUUGAACAUUUUAAGAAGCCCGCCGGAACUAGAUUUCGAGCGCUUCUCGCCGGCGGUUAGCCGGAGCAAAGACAAUAUAGCUGGAUUAUUCAUUUGGAAGUAAGGGCUAGAGUGCACAGGUGGCAUUGUUAGGAAUUCUGGUAAGGGUCUGAAAUUCAAGAAAUAACAAAGAAAAAUUAUCAAGGAAGAAAGGUGUAAUCGAGCUAGUGACAAACUAUAAGAUACACAUAAAGGGAGGGAUUAAAAAGAGGAGUUAGAGAAGGUGGUUAGAGUUGGAAACUCAUUGAAGUAGGAAAGAAGGAGAGACCCCUCCAAGUUGGCUGAGAGAAAAGGAAGAAUCAUGAGUAGUAAUGGUUUGAUGUGACCUAGUUUAGUGAUGAAAAGAGAGAUGGGGGUUGAAUGUGAUAAGAUAAGAGAGGUCGGACCACAUAAUGUGGAAAAAUAACUCAAAAAGAUGAGAAGAAAGGACUGCUAAAUGUUGGCACGGGCAUGUGACUCUCUGAUCAUUACUAAGGGCAUCAACAUCAC
rnacentral:misc_RNA from 1 species